GCUGGGUGCCGUGGUGCAUGCCUGUAACCCCAGCCACUUGGGAGGCCGAGGCAGGAGGAUUGCAUGUUUGAGGCCAGCCUCAGCCACUUACUGAGACCCUGUCUCAA
rnacentral:sRNA from 1 species